rnacentral:rRNA from 1 species
GUGCCAGCAGCCGCGGUAAUACGUAGGGGNCGAGCGUUACCCGGAAUCACUGGGCGUAAAGGGUGCGUAGGCGGUCUAGCAAGUCUGGCCUUAAAGACCACGGCUCAACCGUGGGGAUGGGCUGGAAACUGUUAGACUUGAGGGCACUAGAGGCAGACGGAACUGCUGGUGUAGGGGUGAAAUCCGUAGAUAUCAGCAGGAACGCCGGUGGAGAAGUCGGUCUGCUGGGGUGACCCUGACGCUGAGGCACGAAAGCUAGGGGAGCGAACCGGAUUAGAUACCCGGGUAGUCC